rnacentral:sRNA from 1 species
GCGCUUGGGACAACAAGCGUCGGGUUUGGCGACCUGGAACGAAGGCGGAUGAGACCGCCGCCCUAGGCGGUAUUUUU